CCAGCCUGCAAGGAGCACAGUAGUGCUUCAGAAGACUCUUCCCUUCUGACUGUUGCUUCUACAAGCUCAGUGGUAAGUACUCAAAAGCCCUUCACAGUACUGAAGCCAGCCUGAACCCUGUAACUCCUGGAACUCAGAGGRUGAAUUUGACCUCUGCAAUCUUCAAGUUGAUGUCCCAGAAUUUAUGUGACUUUUUGAGUGGUGAUGUUCUUCCUGGUGUGGUGUCAUGCAAUGGCUGCCUGUACUAGGCUCAGCUCUUAAGGCUGUUGAUUCAGUGACAUUGCUGCCAAACACAAACAAAAGGAACCAGUAGAAGCCAACCAAAUUAGGAAGCCYUUCAAAGAUGCUCUUGAUUAUUAAUUAAAUUAUUGGAUUAU
rnacentral:lncRNA from 1 species